rnacentral:rRNA from 1 species
AGUAGUUUGAUCCUUGGGCUCAGGACGAACGCUUGGCGGCGUGCUUAACACAUGGCAAGUCGAACGGAAGUUACGAGGAAGCUUAGCGAAUUGUAACUUUAGUGGCGGACGGGUGAGUAACGCGUGGAUAACCUGCCUACAUGACCGGGACAACACCGGGAAACUGGUGCUAAUACCGGAUACGCUCACGAAUGCACAUGCAUAUGUGAGGAAAGGAGCAAUCCGCAGGUAGAUGGGUCCGCGUCCCAUUAGCUAGUUGGGGGUGUAAAAGACCACCAAGGCGACGAUGGGUAGCCGGCCUGAGAGGGUGGACGGCCACACUGGAACUGAGACACGGUCCAGACUCCUACGGGAGGCAGCAGUGGGGAAUCUUCCGCAAUGGGCGCAAGCCUGACGGAGCAACGCCGCGUGAGUGAAGAAGGCUUUCGGGUUGUAAAACUCUGUCUUCAGGGAAGAAAGAAAUGACGGUACCUGAGGAGGAAGCCCCGGCUAACUACGUGCCAGCAGCCGCGGUAAAACGUAGGGGGCGAGCGUUGUCCGGAAUUACUGGGCGUAAAGGGCGCGUAGGCGGUUUCUUAAGUCAGAGGUGAAAACUGUGGGCUCAACCCACAGCCUGCCUUUGAAACUGGGAGACUUGAGGGCAGGAGAGGGGAGUGGAAUUCCCAGUGUAGCGGUGAAAUGCGUAGAUAUUGGGAGGAACACCAGUGGCGAAGGCGGCUCUCUGGCCUGUUUCUGACGCUGAGGCGCGAAAGCGUGGGGAGCAAACGGGAUUAGAUACCCCGGUAGUCCACGCCGUAAACGAUGGGUGCUAGGUGUAGGAGGUAUCGACCCCUUCUGUGCCGUAGUUAACACAAUAAGCACCCCGCCUGGGGAGUACGGCCGCAAGGUUGAAACUCAAAUGAAUUGACGGA